CUGGCUCAGGAUGAACGCUGGCGGCGUGCCUAACACAUGCAAGUCGAACGAAGAGGCGCCUUCGGGCGUACUUCAGUGGCGGACGGGUGAGUAACACGUAGGUGACCUGCCCCGAAGCAGGGGAUAACGGCCCGAAAGGGCCGCUAAUACCCAAAAGCCUGACGAGUCGCAUCGACAGGAGAGUGCCCGCAAGGGCUGCGUUUCGGGAGGGGCCUGCGGCCCAUCAGCUAGUUGGCAGGGUAAUGGCCUACCAAGGCGACGACGGGUAGGGGGCCUGAGAGGGUGGUCCCCCACAUUGGCACUGACACACGGGCCAAACUCCUACGGGAGGCAGCAGUGAGGAAUAUUGCGCAAUGGGCGAAAGCCAGACGCAGCAACGCCGCGUGAACGAUGAAGGCCUUCGGGUCGUAAAGUUCUUUUCAGGGGGACGAGCAGGGACGGUACCCCUGGAAUAAGUCACGGCUAACUACGUGCCAGCAGCCGCGGUAAAACGUAGGUGGCGAGCGUUAUCCGGAUUCACUGGGCGUAAAGGGCCUGCAGGCGGCUCUGUAAGUGGGAUGUGAAAUCUCCUGGCUCAACUGGGAGGGGUCAUUCCAUACUGCGGGGCUGGAGGGCAGAAGAGGGAAGUGGAAUUCCCGGUGUAGUGGUGAAAUGCGUAGAUAUCGGGAGGAACACCAGUGGCGAAGGCGACUUCCUGGUCUGCACCUGACGCUAAGAGGCGAAAGCUAGGGGAGCGAACGGGAUUAGAAACCCCGGUAGUCCUAGCCGUAAACGAUGGAUGCUGGGUGUCGGUGGUCCUAACCCCAUCGGUGCCGAAGCGAACGCGUUAAGCAUCCCGCCUGGGGACUACGGCCGCAAGGUUAAAACU
rnacentral:rRNA from 1 species